rnacentral:rRNA from 1 species
GACGGGGGGUCCAAGCGUUGUUCGGAAUCAUUGGGCGUAAAGCGUGUGCAGGUGGUUUUGUAAGUUGGAUGUGAAAGCCCCGGGCUUAACCCGGGAAGUGCAUUCAAAACUGCAAAACUUGAGUAUGGAAGGGGGUCGUGGAAUUCCUGGUGUAGUGGUGAAAUACGUAGAUAUCAGGAGGAACACCGGUGGCGAAGGCGGCGACCUGGUCCUAUACUGACACUCAUACACGAAAGCGUGGGUAGCAAACAGG